rnacentral:rRNA from 1 species
AUUGAACGCUGGCGGCAUGCUUUACACAUGCAAGUCGGACGGCAGCACAGAGAAGCUUGCUUCUUGGGUGGCGAGUGGCGAACGGGUGAGUAACAUAUCGGAACGUACCGAGCAGUGGGGGAUAACUAAUCGAAAGAUUAGCUAAUACCGCAUAUCUUCUGAGGAAGAAAGCAGGGGACCAUUUGGCCUUGCGCUGUUUGAGCGGCCGAUAUCUGAUUAGCUAGUUGGUGGGGUAAAGGCCUACCAAGGCGACGAUCAGUAGCGGGUCUGAGAGGAUGAUCGCCCCACUGGGAGCGGAACCAGGCCCAGUCCCCCAGGGGGAGGGGCGAGGGGGAAUUUUGAGACAGGGGGGGCAAGCCUGACCCAACUGGCGGGCGUGUCAGAAAAGGGCUUUGGGUUUUAAAGGGUUUUUUGUGGGGGAAAAAAAGGGGGGGUUGAACACCCUUGUGUGAUGAGGGUACGUGAAAAAAAAGCACGGGCUAACUAGGUG